GAUGAACGCUGGCGGCGUGCCUAAUACAUGCAAGUCGAGCGAAGCGGGGACGGGUGAGUAACACGUGGAUAACUUCUUAUAAGACUGGGAUAACUUCGGGAACCCGGAGCUAAACGGGAUACUUUCCGAUGGAUCCGCGCUGCAUUAGCUAGUUGGUAGGGUAACGGCUUACAAAGGCAACGAUGCAUAGCCGAUCGGAGAGGGUGACGAGCCACACUGGAACUGAGACACGGUCCAGAUUCCUACGGGAGGCAGCAGUAGGGAAUCUUCCGCAAUGGGCGAAAGCCUGACGGAGCAACGCCGCGUGAGUGAUGAAGGGCUUCGGAUCGUAAAACUCUUUUAUGAGGGAAGCGGUACCUAAUCAGAAAGCCACGGCUAACUCCGUGCCAGCAGCCGCGGUAAUUC
rnacentral:rRNA from 1 species